rnacentral:antisense_RNA from 1 species
CUUCACCGAGCCCAGCAGCAGCGGGCUUUCGGGGUCGCGCUCCUGGCCGUAGGCGGUGAGCAGGGCCUGCGCCUC